GACGAACGCUGGCGGCGUGCCUAAUACAUGCAAGUCGAGCGGACGAAUCGAAAGCUUGCUUUUGAUUCGUUAGCGGCGGACGGGUGAGUAACACGUGGGCAACCUGCCCUGUAGACGGGGAUAACACCGAGAAAUCGGUGCUAAUACCGGAUAACACGAAAUGUCGCAUGACGUUUCGUUGAAAGACGGCGCAAGCUGUCGCUACAGGAUGGGCCCGCGGCGCAUUAGCUAGUUGGUGAGGUAACGGCUCACCAAGGCGACGAUGCGUAGCCGACCUGGGGGGGGGGUCGGCCACACGGGGAAGGAGACCGGGCCCAGACCCCGGGGGGGGGCCGCGGGAGGGACUCUUCCGCAGGGGCGGAAAGUAGGACGGAGCACCGCGGGGGGAGAGAAAAGGGCCUUCGGGUCGGAAAGCUCUGUUGUAGGGAAAAAAAAAGAACCGAAGAAACUGGCGUUACCGUGACGGUACCUAAGGGGAAGGCCACGGCAAACUCGGUC
rnacentral:rRNA from 1 species